rnacentral:lncRNA from 1 species
AUUUGUUGGAGUAGUUUUGCUCAUUCCUUGUUCCAAUCUUCUUUUGUGAUGAAAUUUUAUAUCUAGCUUCUCUUGGGGUUUCGAAUUCGAUCGUUUACUUUGAGGUGUUUUCUCACAAACCUUUAGGUAGUGUUUGAUAACAGGGUUUUCCUGCGGCAAAUCAGAUAUCAUUUGUCGGAAAACCCGCACGUGACCAACUAUUUGCCACAAUACCCGCUUAAAAGCGGGCAAUUUUUGCUUGACUAUAACCCAGGCAAAAUUUGCUUUGCCACUUAACCCGCUUCAAUUUGCCAGGUAUAUAAUACAUUUUUGCCAAAAAAAUUACCUAUCCUAAACAAGAAAAAAACCCUAUCUCAAGGCUCUCUCAUGGCGGCACAACAAGGGCGAUCUUGAAGGCAACCGCGAUUUCACCGGCGAAAAAGGUUAUUUCUUCUUCUUCUUCUUCUUCUACUUGUUUUGCCAAAAAAAACCCGCCGUUCUUAUUCUUCUUCUACUUGUUUAAAAUUCUUCUUCUUCUUUUGUGUUGUUUUCGUAUAGAUCUGUGUAGAUUUGUGUUGUAUUUAAUAGAUCUGUGUAUGUUCAUAUAAUCUGUGUAGAUCUGUGUUGUAUUGCGUGUUAGAUCUGUGUAUGUUCAUAUAAUCUGUGUAGAUCUGUGUAUGUUCAUAUAAUCUGUUGUAUUGCUAGGUUUUUCAAAUUUAAACAUAAUUUCGGUUUAAUUUAAACAUAAACUAACUUCAAUUGCAUUAAAUCGUAUUUUUGAGGUGAUGAACUCUUGAAAAUUUGAAUUUAUUUUUCAAACCCUAACCCUAGAUUGUUUAGGGGUUUUCUAAUAUAACAUAAUUUUGGUUUAAUUUGAAUAUAAAUUAACUUCAAUUGCAUUAAAUCGUAUUGUUGAGGUGAUGAACUGUUGAAAUUUUGAAUUUUUUUUUCAAACCCUAACCCUAGAUAUUUUAGGGGUUUUCUGAUAUAACAUAAUUGUGGUUUAAUUUAAAUAUAAAUUAACUUCAAUUGCAUUAACUUGUAUUGUUGAGGUGAAGAACUGUUGAAAUUUUGAAUUUUUUUUUUCAAACCUUAACCCUAGAUAUUUUAGGGGUUUUCUGAUAUAACAUAAUUUUGGUUUAAUUUAAAUAUAAAUUAACUUCAAUUGUAUUAAAUCGUAUUGUUGAGGUGAUGACUGUUGAAAUUUUUAAAAAAAAUUUCAAACCCUAACCUUAGAAGCUUGUUGUAAGGUACUUGUAUAUAUAGUAAUAUAAAAUAAAUAUGACCACCGAUUCAUUUCAGGAAUAAAUUAAAUUAAAUUGUGAAGAAAGUGUAGUAGUUAUACUUAUUUCUAUGUAUUGAUCCUUUGAUUGGUUGUACGCAUUAAUUAAAUUCGUUUGUAUAUUGAGUAGUCUAGCUUGUGGUUGCAUGGUCUUUGUACUAUUCAUCCGAAUUCAUCCGAGUAUCCGUACUGAUCAGAUUCUAAUGUGUUAGUUAGUUGUUGUGCCAUCUUUUUUAGUCAUGUCAUUAUCAUUUCUGAUAUAACAUAAUUUCGGUUUAGUUUGAAUAUAAAUUAACUUCAAUUGCAUUAAAUCGUAUUAAUUUAGUGAUCGACCGUAGUUUUGGUUGUUUGUGUGUAACUUGCCACCUUCAUGAGAUUGAAAGAAGGUGACCGGCCUAGCUCCAUUGUUGUGAGUGAUGGUUAUGGUUAAUGCAUGGUAAUGGUUCAUAGCGAAGCAGUCUAUAAUGCUACCAAAUACUGUAUAAUUCUUCCCGGCCAAUUGGCCAAAGGUGGCUGUUCAAGAUGCACUGUCGUAAGUCUUUAACAGUCAUGCUAGUGUGAAUGUCCGGCGAGUGUAAAUGGUGCAUGGAAUUGCAACUUUUUUGCUGAUCUGUUUUAAAAUAUGUUAUUGGUAAUGUUUGAAUUUUUGCCAGAACUAUUUUUAAUAAUUUCUUUGAAUACAUUACUUUGGAUUCCAUUACUGUAAUGGCUUGUUGAUACCUGUUUUUAUUUUGCAGACGAGUUUCGUUUGUGUCAGGUUGGUUCUAUUUUUUUGACACUAUUUAUUUAUUUUUUGAAUGUUGUUUUUCAAAUUACAUUGUUGUACAAUUACGAUUGAUAUAUCGUUUUUAAUUUUUGCAGACUUCCAUUUUUAUCUACCUCACACUCACUACCAGGUAUGACGUUAUCUUUAUAAAAUAUUUUGAUCGAAUAUGUUUAGUAAUGUAUAUUAGUUCUUACCUCACUCUCAUCCUUUCAGUUUCAGUCUCGCUUUCUCUCGUAAUUUGCUGUCUCGCUUACUGUCUAGCUUAGUUGCUCAAGGUUUGUUGUUUCUUCGUUCUCACAUAAUAAAUGCUGACAUAUUGUCACAUUUCUUUGUUAUAUUGUAAUUGUUUUAGCAUAUAAAUGCUAACUAUAUAUUGCUGCCAUGUUUUUAAGUAUCAAUACUUAGGCUAAUAUAUUUUUUUUUUGUUAUAUUAUAAUUAUUUUAGCAUAUAAAUGCUAACUACAUAUUGCUGCCAUGUUUUUGGUAUCAAUUAUGUAGACAAUAUAUUGCUGCCAUGUUUUUGGUAUCAAUUCUGUAGACAAAAGAAUCAUACUAAUUAGAACUGUUUAGAAUCACACUAUUUAAAACUGUUUAUAGUCACACUAUUUAUUAGAACUGUUUGCAAUCACAUAUACAAUGUGAUUGCGACAACUAUACCCGAAAAUAAACCUCUUUUAUAUUCUAAUAAUUAAAAAACAAAAUGAAAUAUGAACUCAUAAAUUGAAAUCUGAUAACCCAUCAUGUUAAAAACAUUUGAGUUAAUAAUUUGCAGAUAAUGGGUAAGUAUUGUUAUUACGUUGUGCGCCGUGGGUUUUGUCCGGGUAUCUACACUACUUGGGAAGAGUGCAAGGCACAGACAGACGGAUUUAGGAAUGCUGAUUGGCGUGGUGCUUAUACUAUUGCCGAAGCAAGACAUUUGCUUCAGCAACAACUUACGAAUGGAUUCUGUCAAUCAUCUCGUUCUUUAUGUGAUACCCAACAUCUUUUGUCCCAGCCUUUUAUUCAUGCGCCACAACUGCCCGAGCAAUCUAGUCAAUCAUACCAAUCUGUCGCUCAAUCUCAAGUACCUGGACCUCCAAUAGUCGGUCGUCAACCCUUAAACAUUGGUGGAACAAACAAUGUUGUGGUGGUGGACGACUUUUGGUGGUUUGUCAAGAAGUUGGCGUUGGUGAUGCUAGUUGUUGUAAUUGCACUGUUGAUUAAGUUGUUAUUCGUACUAUGAUAUUCUAUGUAAAUAAUUUGUUGAAUUUGAAGAUGUAAAAAUAACCAUUUAUUAUAAUGUUUGAUUAAAAAGGCAUUAUUAACAAUAAUGACCUUGUUAAAUUAUGAACUAGAAUGUUCUAACCAUUUACGAAUUGAUAUUACUAACCACUCUAAUGAUUAACGAUUAACGAGUAACCUUCUCCUAACUAGUUAUAUGAUUAACCUUAUUAUUAUACUUACCGACCGCUUGUUAUGUAGAAUGUCAAGUAAGGAUCAACGUUUGGUUACAGCUACUGUUGUAAUCGUAGCUGUGGACUGGUUAUUGCAAUAUAUUGCCUCGAACGCAAGACGUAACCGUGUUCCUAGAGUUCCUAGGGCUCCCUAUACCUACAAUAGGGAUUCAGCGCGUGGCGCAACUUUAGCUCGUUUCUAUACCGAUAAUGACAAUGACUGCCAUGACCAAUUGAGGAUGAGACGUUUUGCAUUUCAUCGCUUAUGUGCUAGGUUGAAGACUAUAGGUUUAACCGACUCUCGGUACGUGUCGGUUGAAGAACAAGUUGCAAUGUUUUUGCUUAUAGUUGGUCACGACAAUCGGUGUAGAAGAACACGUUACGAGUUUAGGCGUUCUGGUCAAACUGUGAGUCAUUACUUCCACUUGGUCUUGAAUGCUUGCGUAGAGUUAUACAGGCAAGUGGUUGUCAAUGCUACUGAUCAGAACUCACCCCUCGCUGAUGGUGCUGGCAAUGUCUUUUGGAAUCAGUAUUUCAAGAUUAGAAAAAUCAUCGUGUGUUUUAUCACCCUAGAAUCAAAUUAUUCGAUUACUAACUAGGUCAUACCUUCAUUAGGACGCUUUCGGUGCAAUCGAUGGUACCCACUUCCCCACCUUAGUGCCCAUCGAUGAUCAGCCAAGGUAUCGUAACCGUAAGGGAGUGAUUUCUCAAAAUGUUCUAGUCGCGUGUACGUUCGACAUGAGAUUCACUUAUGUUCUGGCUGGAUGGGAAGACUCAGCGCAUGAUGGCCGGUUGUUGAGAUGUGCGGUUACUCGCCAAGGAAGACGGUUAACCUUGCCCAAGGGUAAGUAUUACCUUGCGGAUGUGGGCUUCGCAUUAAGUCCUGGCUUCCUCACACCUUAUCGUGGCGUCUGAUACCAUGUUAAAGAACAAGGACAUCGCGCCGUAGAAACUGAGGAAGAGUUGUACAACUGUCGGCAUUCCAUGCUACGUAAUGUUGUUGAGAGGAUCAUAGGGGUGUUGAAGAAGCGAUUCGCUUAUUUGAGGAAAGCACCGUUCCAUGAUGUGAAGACCCACACAAAGAUAGUGUUGGCGUGUUGUGCGAUCCACAACUUCCUCAAAGAUCAUGAUCCAACCGAUGAAAUAGAGCCAGACUUGGAGGAACCAGAAGAACCGAUUCCGCCUGAGGCGAACGAGGGUGCUAAUGAACAAGGUGGAGGCAUACUCAUUACUGUAUCACGGGUUUGGACUAAAUGGCGUGAUGACCUAAAAAAGGAGAUAUGGAGUAACUAUGUUAAUUACAAUAUUAAUGAAGGAGUUGCUGAGUGAGCUUGGUGGUGUUGUAUUUGUCAACUUGAGAAGUUGUUUGGAAUAAUUUUAUUGGGUUGUAAUAAGUUGGAAUAAUUUGUCUUUGAUGUUUGAAUAAGGCUAUGUAUGGAUGUUUGAAGAUGAUAAUUUGGAUGUAUGUAUGUUGUUAAAGCUGAUAUGUUUUUGGAUUAAAUGGUUGUUUGGUGUAUGUAAUAGUUGUGAAUUUGGAUAUCAUCAGGUACAACCAUGUCGAGCGGACAAUUUAGGAAGCUUAGAAAGAGCAAGAAAGGCAAUGCUGCACCGGCACCGGAAUACUUUCCAUCUGACAAGCCAACUCCAGCUACCAUGUCCCAUAUAAGAUGGUCAAAAAAGAUGGAAGAGGUCAUGCUAAACACCUUGUACGAAGAGGUGUUAAGGAAUGGCAAGAGAGCUGAUAAUGGAAUAAGGACUGAAUCCUUGAAAGCAGCUGCAGACAGUGUCAAUACAACCCUCCGCAUGAGUGUCACUUCUGAACAUGUGCGGACUAGGCUCAAGACACUUAGGAAGGACUACAAGUUGUGUAAGGAACUUCUUGAUUUGUCGGGCUUUGGAUUUACCUUUGAUUUUGAUAACAAGACUAUUGUUGCUGCCGAAGAGGAUGUAUGGGAGAGAUACUUUCUGGUAAGGCACGCACUUUUAUCAGUUUGAUCAAUUAGCUAGUAAAAUGAUGUGCUAUAGGAUGGUAACGAUUUUUUGGGUGCUUAACAGGCUUAUCCUGAAGCCCGUAACCUUCGUGGCAAACAUUUUUCAUAUUUUGAACAAUUGAGCCUCAUCAUCGGUAAUGACUAUGCAAAUGGUGAAGGGGCAUGCGCUGGUGAUGAAGUUGAUGAAGAACAAGUUGAGGGGUCUCCUAGAGUAGCCGGUAAGCUAUAAUCCUUUAAAAACGUAUUUUCAAAAGCUUUCAGUUCAAACCUAUACACUCACUCACGGAAUAUACACAAUGAACAGAUGUAGUUGGGGUUGAUUCGUAUACUGAAUUGGGGGAUGAUGUUGGUGCUGGUAUUGGAUUGUCUGAAACAUCUGCGUCUGCUACUGAAACAGCUGGAACAAACAAUGAGAGCUCUAGCAACUGCAAUGAAUCUGCCCCUCGUGCGCACCCAAUCCCACCCCCAGUGCAACCCAUUCAGAAUAAGCGCAAGAAGUCACGUUUGGGACCAUCAGAUCCAAGUAACUCUGAUUAUGCUGCAGGCAUCAUGGAAGCUGUUAAGACCUUGGCAGUGGCAUUCGCUGGUCCUAACAUCGAUGAGCUGUGUGAUGCAAUCAAAGAGGUGAGCAAUGGGGACAGAGUCUUGUAUCUGAAGGGUCUUGACUUUCUUGGCGUUGAAGACAAGCAGGCGAAGAUAUUUCUUGGGAUGGACGCUGAUCUGAGGGCUGAUUGGUUGGUUGAUAAGCUUAACUAUGUUAAGCCUUUCAAUGGGGACGAGUGGGCUGGGGAGUAGUGUCCUGUUUCAGUUCAGUUUGUUGGUUAAUAUGUUUCAGGUUCAGUGAUUGGGGGUUCAAACAAUAGUACAUUUCAGUUAUGUUAACUUUAUGUUUCGAAACAGUAGUACAAUUGGAAUGUUUACUUUAUGUUAACUUUAUGUUAAUCUUGUCCUAGUUUCAAACAUUAGUUCAUAAUUGUUUAUGUACAAUUGGUUUUAUCUGAAUGUCUCUAGUUUAUGUAUUAUCUGUCGCAUGUGUGUAAUGUAAACUGACUGAUCAAAAUUGUUUCAGUCAGUGGGAACAGUUUUCUUGGAUUUUUCUGUCAUACUUUUGUUUGUGUUAGCAAUUUUUCUGGGCAUGGUUAAGUCUUGUUACAAUGUGUUGUCGAGUUGUCGAGUUGUGUCUUGUUCAGAAUAUAUAUAUCUUGUGUAAUGUAAACUGAUUGCGCUGAAUUAUUUCAGUCAGUGGGAAUGGUGUGAAUUAUUCACACCCCAAAAAAUCCCCGUCUAGGACGCCGUUUGUUCGCAUGGACCUCAGAUACGGACCACACGAUGUGCACUGCUAUGCUGGCAGAUGAUACACCAAGCCCACUUAUGGUCCGUCUUAGGUCCGGAAUGGUAAAUGCUUGUGAUGUUUUAGAUCAGCACAUUAGGCUGGAUUUGUGUGUUGAAAACAUCUGGGUUCGUUUGCGUUAUUUGAAACGUUUGGCUAAACUUAUCACUGAGUUGUGUGAAGAGCAUCCAGGAUUUCAUUGGGACAAUGAAAGAAGUACGGUGAUUGCAACGGACGAUGACUGGAUUGCCCUUGAGGAAGAGAUACCCGAGUAUUACACACACAUUAGAAACAUGUAUGUUCCAGCGUACCCGGUGUACUUGGAACUGUCAGCAAAGUAUCGUUUGUAGGCAACGAGUGUUUUUGUGAGGUUUAAAAAGUGAUUUAUGCAACUCUUUCUUAAAUAUGUAGGUGGUAAUUGUCUUUGUUAAUUAUCUAUGAGUGGGUGGAUUUAUUGGUUGUUGUUGGUAUAAUAUCUUCGUAAUAUUAUAAUUUUUAUUAUCUUUGGAUUGCCAAUAUUAGGUCUAGAAUCAAACUCAGAUAAUGGUGUGGUGGACUCCUAAGGAAGACGAGAACUUGUGUUUUGCAUGGGUAUCGAUACACACUUGUCCUCUGGUUAAUGAUGUCGGUACAAGUUAUUGGACAGAUAUUUCGGUUCGUUUUCACGAGAUGGAGGGAGUUGUUGAAAGAAAGGAACUAGGCCACUUAGCUAGUCGAUUUCAAGACAUUUGGGAGUGCACAGAACUUUUGGUUAGUUUAAUAGACUUCAUCCGCCUAAAACGAACUAUUAUCACUGACGAAAAUGAAAGGAUCCGAGAAGCGUGCAAUUUAUACAAAAUUAACCAAUACGGGCGGUUUGAAUUCCUCUCUUGUUUGCCAAUAAUCGAACCAUUCAUGCAUUGUGACAACCUUGGGUGCGAUGGUUUGAUGAAAAUGCACAAGGGAAUGGGAAACAAUGACAAGCAAUGGGUAUGCUUUGCAAAAUGCGCUAAUCAAGCAUGCCCAGGAAUUAUAUUCUUGUAUCCAUUUCAUGUAUCGCCACCAUCUGGAGGAGACCUUGAGAUGAUUUGUGCAAAAUGUCUUCAAAACCCUUGUCAUGGUGAUUGCGCAAACUAUUGGAAGCACAUUUCUUUACCACCACCUGAUGAUGGUGUUUGUUUGCACUGCUUAGGCAACCCAUGUACGUGGGAUUGUGUCAAUUAUUGUGAUUGUUGUAGUCGUGACUAGACAUUUUUGUUAUAUGUAAGACACAUUUUCAUUUAUUGUGUUAUAUAUAACACACAUUUUAAAAUAGUAUUGUAACUUUCGUUUUGAUAUGAAUCAUGUAAUGGUCGUAAAGUGCUUUGUAUUCCUUAUCAUGUAAUGGUCAUAAAGUGCUUUGUAUUAUUAUCUUGUGUAUGAAACAUAUUGUAUAACUUACGCCAUUGCGGAUUAACAUUGUCGACCCACAAAUGGUUGUUUAUAUUUUGUAUGGAACAUUGCUAGUCUAAUAUGAACAAAUUGUUGCUCAUCGUGUGUAGCAUUGUGUACGUAUGUUGAGUAAUACAUUUGUAAACUUAUGGGUAUUGCAAUAUGUGUUACAGAUAACCAAGCAAUGGCACCCAACCUAAGGCCAAUUGUGAGAGAUAACCCAUUCUGGGUGAAGCAAGUUAGCAAGGGCCACGUCACCAAUUGCUGCGUAAUGGUAAGCAAAUACCUAAUUAUGUAUGGACUUACAUAAAAUGAUGGGCUUUGGGCAGUUAGUUGGGCCUCACAGUAAUGGCUAGUAAUGUUGAUAUAUAUGGCAAGAAAUGUGCACAUAUAUAUGGGUUGCUACAUGUGCAGAAAACUCUUGCCAGAACUGUUUGAUAUAUACUGUUGAUAUAUGGCAGAACUGUUGAAUAUACUGUUGAUAUAUCGAAUAAUUGUUCGACAGAACUGUUUGAUAUAUGGCUAGUAAUGUUGAUAUAUACUGUUGAUAUAUGGCAGAAUUUUUAUAUAUACUGUUGAUAUAUGGAAUUGUUUGACAGAACUGUUUCAUAUAUAUGGCUAGUAAUGUCGAUAUAUACUGUUGAUAUAUGGCAGAAUUUCUAUAUAUUGUUGAUAUAUAGAAUUGUUUGACAGAACUGUUUGAAUUCUAUGGCUAGUAAUGUUGAUAUAUACUGUUGAUAUAUGGCAGAAAAUUCCGGCUGCGAACAAGUAUUUGUUCGAACACUGUAAGCGCGUCGUGUUUAUCUUGCCUGGUGAACAAAGCUUCAGGGUUGAAGUUACCCAUGAUCGCCAUGCUUCUUUGUACUUUCCCUACAAUGGGUGGAAGAGUUUCAUUGAUGCAGUCGAUCUCAAGGAAGGCGACACCAUGUUGUUCGAGUGCUGGGGUCUUUGUCGCACGCACGAGCUGGGCAGGAUCAGAGUUCAAAUUUAUCACUGUGAUGGGCGACGACCAAGGCUUUUCGUUGGGCGUUUACCGGCACCAGCUACAAGGACUUGGCCUACUGGGUUUGAGAGAGCCCAAUCAGGUCCAGCUAGAGACCAGACCGAACCAGAAGAGGAAGAACAAGAAGAGGAAGGUUCGGGUACUCUAGCGUCACCAUAUGUUGUCAGUUGGGUGUUCACCAGGAAGGUUGAUUGUUUGUUUUGUUUUGUCUGAGUGUCUGACUAUGGGGGCCGUGUUGAUGACAUUUUUAAGAACUUAUUAUGUUUACAUAAACCUAUAACUAUGUUUUAUCAAUGUAUAUAAUUUCGUUAAUUAUAUUAUGUGUGUUAUUAUUGAGUAAUUUUUUUUGUUUUUCGAAUUCGUUAAUUUGGGUGUUUUUUUAUACAUGUACGUACGCAAUGAUAACAAAUGUUAUUAUUGAGUUUUUUUUUUUUUUUUGAUAUGUGGUCACUUUUGCACAACCCAAUCAAGUUUGGACUUGUUUUUUUGGACCCAGCCCAAUGGACCUUCAACUUUGCCACUUAACCCUAUUAGGUUUUACCAAAAUAAAAUCUGUUAUCAAAAUCAAUAUAAACGACAAAUAUGAAUUAUCAUAUUUGCCAAAGUGUUAUCAAAUGCGGUUUAACCGUCAAAUUGCGUUUUGUCCGCUUUUUUAGAAAGUUUUAUCAAACGAUGGCAAACUGAUUUAAGCGGAUAAACCAUUUGCCAGGAACCGGCAAAUGUGUCUUUUGCCGCACUUUUGCCCGGUUUGUCUUAAUGCCUAACAAAGCGGGAAUUCGUUUUCAAACAGACCCUUAGGGCUUUAUUUUCAAAUCUAGGGUUUAGGUGCAAGCCGUUAUUCUAGGCGACAAAUACUCUUCUCUAAUCUUCUUGAUGGUUUUCUUUUCCUCUUUAGUUGUCUAUGAUUUGUAUGUUCUUACUCUUAAGAGAUCUUGUUUUGAGUUUCAAUUUCUACCUUGUCCUCAACACCUCAGCUGUUUUGGUUAUUCAAAGACCCUUUCUUUUCUAACAUUUUCUUUCUUCUUAAUUGCUUUUCGAUCUUUAGUCAUUGGUGUUUUUUUCACUAAACCUUUGGGGGAUUAAGGUGUAGGUGUAAGCCGUUACUCAUAAACGGCAAGGACUCAUCUUUGGUCUUUGGGUUGCUUUGCUUUCUUGGUUGUUGGAUUGUUUAGCUAAGUUUUUGUUUUUGUUUAUCUUUGAUUAGGCUUGACUCUUGAGUUUGUUGAGGAGAUGGUUUUCUUUUUUUAGUUUGUUCUUUUAGGAUAAACCAUGUUUAUGUAAUCCCCUAAUGACUAUACUCUUGGGGAUCUUGAUUGUGUUCUUGAGCUUUAAUUUAUCUAUGAAAGAUCAAAAUUUAAAUUAAAAAAAAGGCUAG